CAGAACAGAGAUGUUGGUGAAAAAAUGACUGAAAUCAGAACCAAGUCUGACAUUUGUUUGUAGUCAGUCAAUGUUGUUGACGUACAGACCAACGUCAUCUUCUCAGGGUAGCCAAAUGCACCAUGGAGACUUAAGACACCAGCGAGGGGGAGACUGACAACGGGGCAUGGGAACGCAGGGCUCAUGCCACAACUGUCCUAGAAAUAGAAAAUUCUUCCAAAGUAAAAAGUUUAUGUUUAAAAUAUAGGGAAAAGACUUGAAUAGACAUUUCACCAAAGACGACAUGUCAAUGGCAAAUAAACACAUCCAAAGGAGCUCAACCUCCAUGAAGAGGGGAAAAGCGCAUCGAAGCCCACUGCACACCUGCUGGAAUAACCCUGAUCAAAACCCAGAGGAUGGCAGGAGCCGCCCGACCUGCAAACAGCCACGGUGUCCCUGCUGACCCCGUGCCUCCAGCACAGCCUCCUCCUGGACUUGGUUUUAUCCACAGCUGCUGAGGUCACUUGCUCCAACUCCAGAAGGAAUUCUGCUCACAGCUGUCACACUGACCAGCACGUCCCAGGUCCUCAGAACUUUCCCAGCGCCAGUGAACUUUCUCAAAGAGCAAUAGGUAACCUUCUCCUUUCUUGUAAAACCACCAACCUUCUACUGCUUCUCCAACCUCCACCAUUUACCUGGUCGGCACAUAUGCCCCAAGAUGCAAUCCUUUCUUCCCAAAUAAAACGUUAAACUUGGAAAUUCGCCUCUACAUUUUUAUUUUGACUUGAACAUACCCCAGCAACCGUGAGACCCCGAGGACACGAGUGACCUUCCCUGCUCCUGGUUCCUUCGUGUGCACAACAGGCCGUGCUGUCUCCUGGAGCCUGGGGCCUGGCACCUGGGAGCUCAGCCAGAGCGGCCCCAGCAACCUCCCUGUAGCUCCAGCAGUGCCAUCCCUGUGGUCAGCGUGGACCUGGCCUCCCAGUGGCCCCAAGUCCCCCCAUAGCUCCAGUACUGCUGUCCCUGCAGCGUGAACCCGGCCUCCCAGUGGCCCUGUAUUCCAUGGAGGCCUGGGCCCCCUGCCCUCCUGAGCCUCACAGUGACCAGCCAGCCUCACACGCUGCUGACCCUCAGUAGUGGCCAACCCCGUGUCUGUCGGAGGGCACAGGCCACCAUCCCCAUGGAGCUCAGGCCUGCUGCCUGGGCAGGGGCCCUCCAGGAAGCCUGGCACUUAGGGGUGGCAGCUCAAGCUUGUUGGGGGUGGGGAGCUGGCCGGGCAGUCAGGGCCCGUCAUGUGCGACUUUGGGCCAAUCCCAUCCCCUCUGGGCCUCUGUU
rnacentral:lncRNA from 1 species